rnacentral:tRNA from 1 species
GCUAUUAAAGCUAAAAAUAUAAAGCGCUAGUUUUGUAAUCUAGAGAUUGAAUUUAAUUCUAAUAGCU